GGGAUUGCGGCGAAGUGGGCGGUUCGCUUCCCGCGACGUUUUGAGAAGUCCACUGAACCUUAUCAUUUAGAGGAAGGAGAAGUCGUAACAAGGUUUUCCGUAGGUGAACCUGCGGAAGGAUCAUUG
rnacentral:rRNA from 1 species